GCGGAUGUGGCGGAAUGGUAGACGCUACAGACUUAAAAUCUGUUGUCCGUAAGGGCGUGCGGGUUCGAGUCCCGCCAUCCGCA
rnacentral:tRNA from 1 species